UUGGUAAACAGGAGAAGUUCCAUCAGAAAUGGACGCUGACAAAGAAAGGAAAACCGAGUCAUGGCCGAACCAUGACUGGGCCGAGUUAACUCAGUUAUGCCUCGUCGACAUCUUCUCUCGCCUUUCCAUCGAAGACCGAUGGCGCGGAGCCAUGUUUGUGUGCAAGCCAUGGUUUCAAGCUUGCAAAGACCCUACCCUCAACUCGGUAAUCGAACUCGAAGCUCAGUUCGACUCGGCCACUGAGUCGUCUCGUUACUGGACACCUGAAUUCGAGCGCAAAAUGGACUCUAUGCUUCGAUCUGUUGUACUUUGGAGUGAUGGGUCUCUUACUACAGUCCGGGUUAGACACUGCUCUGAUCGUUCCCUAGCUUUAAUUGCUGAAAGGUCUCCAAACCUUCAAGUUCUCUCUAUCAAAUGCUGUCCACAUGUAACUGAUGAAACGAUGUCUAAGAUCGCCUUAGGGUGCCCUUUGCUCAGGGAACUCGAUAUCAGCCUCUGCUAUCAAAUAUCUCACAUGUCUCUUGCUCUUAUAGGACAGCAUUGUGCUAAUUUGAGAAUUCUGAGGCGAAAUUUCACGAGUAGGUUAGAUCUUUCCCGACAACAAUGUUUUGUCCCCGAGGAGUAUCUAGAUGCCUAUCCUCAAGAUGGCGAUUCAGAAGCUGCUGCAAUUGGAAAAUUUAUGUUCAAACUUGUGCAACUUGAGCUUCGUUUCUUCGACUUGACUAAUAAAGGACUUGCUUUGAUAUGUGAAGGGUGUGUAAAACUUGAGCAUUUGGAUCUAUCUGGAUGUACAGAUGUUACUAGCUCGGAUAUUUCAAACGCCUCAUUGAAUCUUAAGCAGUUGAAAACCUUGAAGAAGCCUCAGUUUUACUUCUCAAUGUUAGGAUCUCACACUGAGAGGUAUAUAUGGGCACUGGCAGCUGAAUGAUGAGCGUUUCCGAACAGGUAACAUCCGAAUUUAAUCAGGCAACGAAUGAGCGAUGAUAAGCACAAUGAUCCGAAUUUGGAUCAUUGUGCUUUCUAAUCAGGCAAGGAAUGAGCGUUUCCUCGACUGCUUGUAUAUUGUGCUUUCUAAUUGUGUACUUAAUAAGGGCUAUGUAUAAAUAGAGGAAGAUUAUGUUUAACGCUCUUGAUUACUUAGUAGAAAGGUAUAGUAUUCGACGAGCUUUAGCUGUGUGCAUGUGUAUAUACAUGAGAUAAUUGAACAUAAGUACAACCCACACAUAUACAUUGCAACCAGGUUGUGAUCCAGUCACGACUUUGCAAAUCUGUAGCCCAAAAGAUAAUAGGUCAAGGUUCAAAAGAACAACUUUUUUCAUGCAAGGUUCCUUUUACUUUCUCCUU